GAUGAACGCUAGCUACAGGCUUAACACAUGCAAGUCGAGGGGUAACGAGAGGAAAGCUUGCUUUCCUUGUCGACGACCGGCGCACGGGUGAGUAACGCGUAUCCAACCUGCCCCCAACUAGGGAAUAACCUUGCGAAAGUAAGACUAAUACCCUAUAAUUUCCUCAGAUGUCAUCUGACGAGGAAUAAAGAUUUAUUGGUUAUGGAUGGGGAUGCGUUCCAUUAGAUAGUUGGUGAGGUAACGGCUCACCAAGUCUUCGAUGGAUAGGGGUUCUGAGAGGAAGGUCCCCCACAUUGGUACUGAGACACGGACCAAACUCCUACGGGAGGCAGCAGUGAGGAAUAUUGGUCAAUGGGCGAGAGCCUGAACCAGCCAAGUAGCGUGAAGGAUGAAGGUCCUAUGGAUUGUAAACUUCUUUUAUAGUAGAAUAAAGUUAGCCACGUGUGGUUAUUUGUAUGUAUACUAUGAAUAAGGAUCGGCUAACUCUGUGCCAGCCGCCGCGGUAACAC
rnacentral:rRNA from 1 species